rnacentral:rRNA from 1 species
GAGAUCUUCGGAUCUANAUGGCGGACGGGUUAGUAACGCGUGGGAACGUACCCUUCACUACGGAAUAGUCCCGGGAAACUGGGUUUAAUACCGUAUACGCCCUUCGGGGGAAAGAAUUUCGGUGAGGGAUCGGCCCGCGUUAGAUUAGUUAGUUGGUGGGGUAAUGGCCUACCAAGACUACGAUCUAUAGCUGGUUUGAGAGGAUGAUCAGCAACACUGGGACUGAGACACGGCCCAGACUCCUACGGGAGGCAGCAGUGGGGAAUCUUAGACAAUGGGGGCAACCCUGAUCUAGCGAUGCCGCGUGAGUGAUGAAGGCCUUAGGGUCGUAAAGCUCUUUCGCCUGUGAUGAUAAUGACAGUAGCAGGUAAAGAAACCCCGGCUAACUCCGUGCCAGCAGCCGCGGUAAUACGGAGGGGGUUAGCGUUGUUCGGAAUUACUGGGCGUAAAGCGCACGUAGGCGGAUUAGUCAGUCAGAGGUGAAAUCCCAGGGCUCAACCCUGGAACUGCCUUUGAUACUGCUAGUCUUGAGUUCGAGAGAGGUAAGUGGAAUUCCGAGUGUAGAGGUGAAAUUCGUAGAUAUUCGGAGGAACACCAGUGGCGAAGGCGGCUUACUGGCUCGAUACUGACGCUGAGGUGCGAAAGUGUGGGGAGCAAACAGGAUUAG